AGCAGUGUGAGAGCGGUGGUGUCUGCGUAACGCCUGUACUUAGCUGCAUGCUUUCCUCUUAAGGAGACCUAGGGAUUGGAUGGUGGGCUGCUACAUAGCCAGGCAGUAUCAGGAAGGGCCAUUCCGGGUGAAACAACUGAGAAGGAUGAAUGAAGAGAGCGCUUCUCAGCUGGGUGACCCUCUGAAUGGAUGAACCCCAGUCACUGAAAUUUGCCCAUUCUCAGCUCUGAAACAGGCACACGUGAAGAUGGGUACAGAUUUGGUUUUGCCAUUAGCCACCCGCCACUGCACCUGACCACUCCCCCGUUGGCUGGUGCAUUCCAGUGGUGAGCUGAAAGGAACCCCCAGCUUAGCAAACAGGGUUAUUCUUCAUGUGGAUGACUCUGUGCCGAAAGCAGGGGACAACCAGGAAAUGGCUGAGGGAGGCCAUUGUGGUCUGGCCUGGCUUUGGGUGUGACAAAGCUUUUGCCGUGUUUUCUUUUCUCUGCAGUUAAGCACAGUGGAAACAUCACAUUCGAUGAGAUUGUCAGUAUUGCCCGACAGAUGCGACACCGAUCUUUAGCCAGAGAACUCUCUGGAACAAUUAAAGAGAUCCUGGGGACUGCCCAGUCUGUGGGGUGCAAUGUUGAUGGCCGCCACCCUCAUGACAUCAUAGAUGAUAUCAACAGUGGUGCAGUGAAAUGUCCCGCUGUAAGUGACUUCUGUUAUUUUCUUUGCUUAAAAUCAAUCAGGGGAGAGCUGGAGAGUUUUAGAAUUGGUCAGUAGUGGGGUUGAGGAGACUUUUUUCCAUAUCACUGAUAGGAUUUCUUUCUUCUUUCCUACAGACUUAAGAACUACAAAGGAAAAGGACUCAGACAUCAUUUGACAAGCAGUGACUUUUCUAUGUGGCCUCCUCCUUGGGGAGCUGGGUUCUUUGUGUCAGGUGGUUAGCGGGACCAAGUGGGGAGCCUGUGGAAGCACCAAUCUGGGCAUCUGUGAUCUCAGCAGUAGCGGGUUUCUGCCCUCUGCCUGCAGCUCUCAUGAAAGACGUCUCAGCAUUUCUGUAGACAGCCCGGGAGCUCUUCAUAAGAAAUAGUUCUUGGCCAGAAGGAAAGCUUGUAGUGCAGCCUAACUACAGGGUGAUGAGUUCUUCAUCAUAGACCAAGUCAUUUGGUGGGCUGGGGCCCAGGACCUGCAAUUCAAGACUUCAAUAUCCAUUCCAGCACACAGCUGGGGUUAACUGAUUGGUUAACUAAGAAACCUGACCUGUGUCCUUGGUUUAUCUGAGUUUCUGUGAAAGUGAGGGUCAAGUAUACUUCUAAAGUUUAGCUACAGCCUAGUCCUGACAGUCUCUUGGCUUUAAGCCAGUGACAGAUGAUAAUCUGUUUUCACCUUUUUCCUCA